GGCCAUUGGUCAGACCCUGAUGAUCAACCAGCUAAUUGAUAUGGAGUGGAGGUUUGGAGUGACGUCUGGAAGCAGUGAAUUAGAGAAAGUGGGAAGCAUAUUUUUACAGCUUCCUGCACGAGAUGGAGAGAGUCAGAGCGAGCAUGGAGUGCCUCAGCUGAUCCUGUUUCCCCGAUGGCUACUCCAGGGUCCCAACUGCCUUGGGAGGCCAGAUGCAAAGAGUUUCUAAAACCAAGAGUCUCAGUGCUUGAGGAGUCCUGCCCGAUUCUUAUGUAAGCCCAUCCGGAGCCACCACCUCCAGCUCCUGGGUGACUUUGCACCUAGAUGCCCUGACAGCUUCUGCAUCUGGGACUGUUUUCUUUCUUUUGGGAGGUGGGUAUUGUCACCUCCCAUUCAACAGUAAACAAGCGGUUCCUUCAUUCAGAUGGUUGAGCUCUUGUUUGUGGCUGAGGAAGAGGCAGGUGGUGUGUAAGGUGUGUCAGGGGAGGUCCCAACUGUGUCAUACUGUUUGGAGGGGAAGGGUGUUGCCAGCCACAGUUUGCCAAGUCUCUGUGUUAAAGCCUGUGCUCAGUCUUCUCUGGAAGAGCUAAGGGCAGACUAUUUCUAGUUUUGUCUCUUUGUUUUUUUGUGUUAUAAGGAGGAAGUCUUUUGAUGACAUCUUCGAUUGUUUUGGUUCUAGAAGAUGAACCACUUUUUGGUUAAGUGGUAAAUUAAAAGAAAAACAGUUUCUAAAG
rnacentral:lncRNA from 1 species